rnacentral:misc_RNA from 1 species
ACUAUCUUUCGUCUCCAUCAUCAGACUUUAAUGGCACUUGUAACUCAUAUAGGUGCAAAGUUCUCAUCAAUAGAAACGAAUUAAGUUCAAAAACCGGGUAAUUGCUAUAAAUUGUUGAAGAGUUCCCUCGAAUAUCUUUCUUCUCCAUCAUCAGAUCGACUCCAGACCUUUAUUAAAUAGUAGUGCUUUAUAGUACUUAAUGAAAACAUGAUUAAAUUUACUAGUCACCCUUACGAUUUUUGAAAGCUUCCCUCGAUUUCUCUGGGAUCCCAUCAUCAGAUCCUGGUUUCCUUAUCAUGGUACCAAACUAUGGAUAUCUCCUUUCCAACAAAAAAAGAAUUAUCAAAAUCGGUUCAUAAACGAAGAAGUUAUCUCCGAACAUACAUAAAAAAAAAAAAAAAAAAUA